ACACCCUUGAGGUCCAGUAUGAAGAACUGCAGGAUGAGUCUUUGCCACCCUAGGGACUGCUUUAGAAACUAGAAUUCCACCACUUGAAACCCAAAGUUCCAUCAUUUGAAAUCUCUUCCCUUGGGGCCCUCUUUUAUAUGAGGCUGACCUCCAUGUAGCUGCAUCAAUUUCAGCAAAGCAGUAUAUUCUAAAGCAAAAUGGAAUCUAUGACUCCCAUUUCCCCUGCCCCGAGAAUGCCCUUGUGAGGCCAUUGAACGCAGGUACCACUAUUGCCUGACAAGCAAGGAACCUGAGUGACACAGGGAGGUGAAGAAAUUGGUGCCCGGGUGUGAAGGACAUGAUUAGUUGAGAUGGGUCUGGAAUGCAGGUUCUCAGCUCCUAACAUGGUCAUGUUAGACCAUAAGGAUGGCCUUUGGAUCUCCAACUCUAAGAGGUUCAAGCUCUUGAUGGGAGGAAUAUUCCAAUGGAGAACCUUCUUAAGGCUAAGAUUCUGGAUUUUCAUCAUUCAGAGCUGAAAGGGCUAUGGAGACCCUGUGGAGAGCUGAAAGGGCUAUGGAGCCUGGGCCACAGUGGCUCUCAAUAACAACGAGAAUCCAUUUGGGGUCAGAGAAGAGGACCAGUGGAGUGCAGUGGAAAAUGUUCUGCACUGGACAGAAACUAUCCAACUUAUCUCCACCCCAUCACCUAGCAUGGCGUCUGGCACAUAGUAGGUGAUCAACUAUGAGCUUGUUGAGCGAUGAGUAAGGCAAAACACACUGGACAUGGGUAAAAAACAACAGCGAAGUAUAUCAUUCAAUGCAUCUUUGCUGUAGCACGUGAAAUCAAUUACUGGUUUCUUGGCAGUUAAAAGUGAUUUUUUCACGGCCCUCCCCUGGUUGAUUUUCAAGUUUGCUCCAGAAGCUGCUGUGACCAAGGAGAGGCCUCUCCCUGGCGGCAAUACCACCUUUGUCCAGAAGAUGGCGGUCAAGGCCAGCAGAACACACCUUGCAGCCCUCCAGAGCCAGCCAGGCCUGCGCA